CAUUGGUUUUGUAAAAAAAAAAAAAUAGAAUGGAUUUUUUAGUGAAGUCAAAUGCUUUGGGCUCAAAUCCCGUAAAAAGCAGAAAGAGAUUGAAACUGAAGAUAACAAUAUCAAUGGCUUGCAAAAGAAGCUAAAACUAAUGUAAACAUGGAUUGUUUCGUUUUUGAAAGAUCAGUGAAAACUGAUUAAAGGUCAGUGAAAAGU